AACGAACGCUGGCGGCAUGCCUAAUACAUGCAAGUCGAACGAGAUCUUCGGAUCUAGUGGCGCACGGGUGCGUAACACGUGGGAAUCUGCCCUUGGGUUCGGAAUAACUUCUGGAAACGGAAGCUAAUACCGGAUGAUGACGUAAGUCCAAAGAUUUAUCGCCCAAGGAUGAGCCCGCGUAGGAUUAGGUAGUUGGUGAGGUAAAGGCUCACCAAGCCGACGAUCCUUAGCUGGUCUGAGAGGAUGAUCAGCCACACUGGGACUGAGACACGGCCCAGACUCCUACGGGAAGCAGCAGUAGGGAAUAUUGGACAAUGGGCGAAAGCCUGAUCCAGCAAUGCCGCGUGAGUGAUGAAGGCCUUAGGGUUGUAAAGCUCUUUUACCCGGGAUGAUAAUGACAGUACCGGGAGAAUAAGCUCCGGCUAACUCCGUG
rnacentral:rRNA from 1 species